AGAGUUUGAUCAUGGCUCAGAUUGAACGCUGGCGGCAGGCCUAACACAUGCAAGUCGAACGGUAACAGGAAGAAGCUUGCUUCUUUGCUGACGAGUGGCGGACGGGUGAGUAAUGUCUGGGAAACUGCCUGAUGGAGGGGGAUAACUACUGGAAACGGUAGCUAAUACCGCAUAACGUCGCAAGACCAAAGAGGGGGACCUUCGGGCCUCUUGCCAUCGGAUGUGCCCAGAUGGGAUUAGCUAGUAGGUGGGGUAACGGCUCACCUAGGCGACGAUCCCUAGCUGGUCUGAGAGGAUGACCAGCCACACUGGAACUGAGACACGGUCCAGACUCCUACGGGAGGCAGCAGUGGGGAAUAUUGCACAAUGGGCGCAAGCCUGAUGCAGCCAUGCCGCGUGUAUGAAGAAGGCCUUCGGGUUGUAAAGUACUUUCAGCGGGGAGGAAGGGAGUAAAGUUAAUACCUUUGCUCAUUGACGUUACCCGCAGAAGAAGCACCGGCUAACUCCGUGCCAGCAGCCGCGGUAAUACGGAGGGUGCAAGCGUUAAUCGGAAUUACUGGGCGUAAAGCGCACGCAGGCGGUUUGUUAAGUCAGAUGUGAAAUCCCCGGGCUCAACCUGGGAACUGCAUCUGAUACUGGCAAGCUUGAGUCUCGUAGAGGGGGGUAGAAUUCCAGGUGUAGCGGUGAAAUGCGUAGAGAUCUGGAGGAAUACCGGUGGCGAAGGCGGCCCCCUGGACGAAGACUGACGCUCAGGUGCGAAAGCGUGGGGAGCAAAACAGGAUUAGAUACCCUGGUAAUCCACGCCGUAAACGAUGUCGACUUGGAGGUUGUGCCCUUGAGGCGUGGCUUCCGGAGCUAACGCGUUAAGUCGACCGCCUGGGGAGUACGGCCGCAAGGUUAAAACUCAAAUGAAUUGACGGGGGCCCGCACAAGCGGUGGAGCAUGUGGUUUAAUUCGAUGCAACGCGAAGAACCUUACCUGGUCUUGACAUCCACGGAAGUUUUCAGAGAUGAGAAUGUGCCUUCGGGAACCGUGAGACAGGUGCUGCAUGGCUGUCGUCAGCUCGUGUUGUGAAAUGUUGGGUUAAGUCCCGCAACGAGCGCAACCCUUAUCCUUUGUUGCCAGCGGUCCGGCCGGGAACUCAAAGGAGACUGCCAGUGAUAAACUGGAGGAAGGUGGGGAUGACGUCAAGUCAUCAUGGCCCUUACGACCAGGGCUACACACGUGCUACAAUGGCGCAUACAAAGAGAAGCGACCUCGCGAGAGCAAGCGGACCUCAUAAAGUGCGUCGUAGUCCGGAUUGGAGUCUGCAACUCGACUCCAUGAAGUCGGAAUCGCUAGUAAUCGUGGAUCAGAAUGCCACGGUGAAUACGUUCCCGGGCCUUGUACACACCGCCCGUCACACCAUGGGAGUGGGUUGCAAAAGAAGUAGGUAGCUUAACCUUCGGGAGGGCGCUUACCACUUUGUGAUUCAUGACUGGGGUGAAGUCGUAACAAGGUAACCGUAGGGGAACCUGCGGUUG
rnacentral:rRNA from 1 species